UCAAGAUGAAGACCAGAUAUAUAUUUCAUAA
rnacentral:piRNA from 1 species